rnacentral:rRNA from 1 species
UACGUAGGGUGCGAGCGUUGUCCGGAAUUAUUGGGCGUAAAGGGCUCGUAGGCGGUUUGUCGCGUCGGGAGUGAAAUCCCGAGGCUCAACCUCGGGUCUGCAGUCGAUACGAGCAAACUAGAGUGUUGCAGGGGAGACUGGAAUUCCUGGUGUAGCGGUGAAAUGCGCAGAACUAUCAGGAGGAACACCGGUGGCGAAGGCGGGUCUCUGGGCAACAACUGACGCUGGAGGAGCGAAAGCGUGGGAGCGAACAGG